rnacentral:rRNA from 1 species
GACGAACGCUGGCGGCGUGCUUAACACAUGCAAGUCGAACGGAAAGGCCCUGCUUUUGUGGGGUGCUCGAGUGGCGAACGGGUGAGUAACACGUGAGUAACCUGCCCUUGACUUUGGGAUAACUUCAGGAAACUGGGGCUAAUACCGGAUAGGAGCUCCUGCUGCAUGGUGGGGGUUGGAAAGUUUCGGCGGUUGGGGAUGGACUCGCGGCUUAUCAGCUUGUUGGUGGGGUAGUGGCUUACCAAGGCUUUGACGGGUAGCCGGCCUGAGAGGGUGACCGGCCACAAUGGGACUGAGAGACGGCCCAGACUCCUACGGGAGGCAGCAGGGGGGAAUAUUGCACAAUGGGCGGAAGCCUGAUGCAGCAGCGCCGCGUGCGGGAUGACGGCCUUCGGGUUGUAAACCGCUUUCGCCUGUGACGAAGCGUGAAUGACGGUAAUGGGUAAAGAAGCACCGGCUAACUACGUG